rnacentral:lncRNA from 1 species
CCAUGCAGAAACUUUACCAUACCCGAAGCCUACUUUCACACAUAUUGUAGAUAACCCCAACCAGAAAAUAAAGCAAGGAAAAGCGAGAAUGAAACAUGAAGGAAGAAAUAAUGACACGCUCUAAAAAAACAAAUAAAGCCAAAGAAUGGGGGCAACGCAAUCUAAAAAUCAUGAUCAGUUGAAUAAGUCCUUUAAACCUAGCCAAGUGGUGGGAAACAAUCCAUGCAUUGAUCUAAAUCUCAUUCAAUUAGGCUAACAGCCUUGAAAAGAUCCUCCUCUCCUUGCCAAAUAGUGCAAGAAUAUAAACCAAGGUUUAUUAGAGAUUCCCUGGAUUGUUAUCAUAGCUCUAUGGCAAACUCCUAGGUCUCUUUUAAUAUCAUUGAAUUAAAAAGACCUCGG